UACGGAGGGGGCUAGCGUUGUUCGGAAUUACUGGGCGUAAAGCGCGCGCAGGUGGUCUUUCAAGUCAGUGGUGAAAGCCCGGAGCUCAACUCCGGAAAUGCCAUUGAAACUGUGAGACUUGAGGACGAGAGAGGUGAGUGGAAUUCCCAGUGUAGAGGUGAAAUUCGUAGAUAUUGGGAAGAACACCGGUGGCGAAGGCGGCUCACUGGCUCGUAUCUGACGCUCAGGCGCGACAGCGUGGGGAUCAAACAGG
rnacentral:rRNA from 1 species